CGCGGGGUGGAGCAGCCUGGUGCUCGUCGGGCUCAUAACCCGAAGGUCGUCGGUUCAAAUCCGGCCCCCGCAACCA
rnacentral:tRNA from 1 species